GUCCUACAUUUUGACUUUUGGUUACAUUGAAAAAGACCGAUAAAACCGAAGGUCGCAUUACUUCUAAAUACCGGAAACAAUUCCGGUCAGAAAUCCGGGUGAAACGGGUAAUGUUAGAAAUUCCCGGGACCCGCCGGGUAAAGAAAAACUCCCGGGUGAGAGGUGAAAAUAACGGGUGUCACCCGCAAAAAACGGGUGAGUUGACAGGUAUGACCAUUACUGUUGUG
rnacentral:lncRNA from 1 species